rnacentral:tRNA from 1 species
UGCGGCUGGAUCACCUCCUAACGUUAUAGGCAUGCCAAAGCAUGCCCUCCCGUGCCAGUCGGUCUCCUGGGCGCAAGCCUGGGGGAGCCACGAUUUUUGUCGUGGCAAGCUGAAAAUGUCGACCGAGACCAAAAGAGAAUCAUCAGCCAGCUAUUUAUGAUCCUUAGCUGGGCAUAGAACCCGGGCUUGUAGCUCAGCUGGUAGAGCGCCGCCUUUGCAAGGCGGAGGCCCUGGGUUCGAAUCCCAGCAAGUCCAAUUACAAUGCACACAUUGAGGUAGACUCGAUGUGGAAGGGCAGAGGUCCGUUCUUGACGGGGCGGUCCUGUGAAGCCGUGCACAAGCUUUGCGACCAGACGCUCACUGAGUUUAGUGGGGCAUA